AUUUACUUCUGUAUAAUAGAUAGGUCAAUGUAAGCAACUUCAAUAUAAGUGGAGUAGAGUGUAUAUAUUUCAGAAAAGCUGAUAGCUGAUCUAAAACUAUACCAUAAAUAUUGAUAUUCAAAUCAUCUGUACACAAGAUCAUUAAGACUACGCAUACUACGGCAAGUUCCGGAAAUGACAGGAUAUGGACAACUUUAAAUCUGUACAAUGUUUUGUCAUGAUGUUCAAAAUCAUGUCUGCAAUUCACUCUUUUUAUAUAUUUUUAUAUAUUUUUAUUUAAAAAGUUUUUACGAAAUACUUAUUAUCACUAUGAUAUUGAACGCGAUUAACAGUUUUAAACAGUUAAAUGAUACUUUGGAGAGAGGAAAAUGAUACAAGCUAACAAGCAUCCCCAAAAUAGAUUUUCAUUAAUUUGCUAUUUUAAAUAUCUGCAAAGGAGCAACAUCCAGUAAAAGGAUAUGGCAAUCUUUACCGAUAUGAGAUGUCCCGAUUUGAACUUCAGUUGGAGUAAACUUUUCGAAAGUCCAAUAUCUUUCACAUUUUAAUUGAUUGGUACUUGCAUCAAACAUACGGUAUAUGUUUUCUAAUAAGAAGUGUUAUAAGGUUAUAUGCACUUCCCAGACUGCUUUCUAUAAGAGCUCCCCAAAAUGCGGGAUUUACGGGUCGGAAAGUCUCGUUUACUUUCACUUUCGAUUUACUACUUCCGGGCAGCAGUCGAUAAAUGUCACUUUGUUUUGCUUUGGUUAUGCUCAGAUGACAGCAUUAAAAUGAACCUACAGCCAAUAUAGAUUCCCAACUUAUGCAAAAAGAGGAAGAAGUGGAUUUAUAGAUGCAGAUGCUGUUAUAUACAUCAUUUCCUUCAGAUGUAUCAAUGUGUUGGUGACUGUUAUGAAGAGAAUGGGCCCAUAUUAACAACUUCUAGGAUGGGCGGUACAAGGGUUCAUACCAGUGAUCAAUUUGUCAUGACUCUUAUGAAGUUGCACCUAAAUCUAGGGGCUCUACAUUUAGCAGGCCAGAGGGCUCAAUGCCGAAUUUACCUCUGAAAGAAUCGCAAUGGAUACAACAAACAGAACACUGGAUUUAAUUUUAAAAAUGAAUAACUAGUCAUUAUCUGACAGCAACUACAUUGUGCAAAAUUUGUCACACAGCAAAGGCUAUCACUUGUGUAGCACAAUUGUUCUGAAUUGUAUCCUGGAUCCACCUUUGAUGGUGACAUUGUUGAUCACUGAGGUGUAUUGGAGAUGUUGAAGCCAGAUGAUAUAUGAUUCUUGCUAAUAAAGGAUUUGAUAUAUUUGAUAAACUUUAAUCAGGAGUGACAUUGAACAUAUCACCUUUUCUUUCAUCAAAAUCUCAUUUCAGUAAGGAUGAAGCACAGCUGUUACAAGACCAGGAAGAGUCAAAUUCAUGUGGAGUGUGCAAUUUAAUAAUUAAAAACAUCCAUAUUCUAAAUCAUAUACCUUCACAAUACAGACAUAUAGAUCUGUCCACUAAGAUUUUCAACUCUGUGUGACUCUUGUACAUUUGCAAAUCCUCCACUGAAGGAAAUAGCUGAUAUGAAUUCCACAAUUUAUUAAAUCUUACCUUUGGACUUAAGAUACUAUAAAUGUACAACUUCUUACUCACAUUAUUCUGCAUUGUCAAGUUGUAUUAAAUGCAUUCAAGUAAAUGAUAAAGUGAACAUUUAUUUAAGGCUGCAGCGUCUGCUAGUCGAAGAAAUUGUUACAAUGGUGAUUCAUGCACAUCUUUAUACUGAUCAUUUGUAGCAAAAACAAAAUAAAACUAUUGGAAGACAUUUGAAUUUUCA